AAGUCGUAACAAGGUUUCCGUAGGUGAACCUGCGGAAGGAUCAUUAGUGAAUACUAGGGUGUCCAAUUUAACUUGGAGCCCGAACUCUCACUCUUCUAACCCUGUGCAUUUUGUAUUGCCUAGUAGGGGUGUUCGCACUCUGAACCGCUUUUACUCACAAACACAAAGUCUAUGAAUGUAUUUAAACUUUAUAACAAAACAAAACUUUCAACAACGGAUCUCUUGGCUCUCGCAUCGAUGAAGAACGCAGCGAAAUGUGAUAAGUAAUGUGAAUUGCAGAAUUCAGUGAAUCAUCGAAUCUUUGAACGCACCUUGCGCUCCCUGGUAUUCCGGGGAGCAUGCCUGUUUGAGUGUCAUGAACUCUUCAACCCUCCCUUUUCUCAGUGACUAGAGAGGUGCUUGGAUUCUGAGUGUUGCCCCUUACCCGGGCUCACUCGCAAUGCAUCAGCAUCCCAUUCGAAUUUCGGANUGACUUGNCGUAAUAGACUAUUCGCUGAGGAUUCUACUCUCGCAGUAGAGCCGGGUUCGAGAGGACGCUUCUAAUCUAGCUUAGUCUACUUUAAGAUUAGACCUCAAAUCAGGCAGGAUUACCCGCUGAACUUAAGCAUAUCAAUAAGCGGAGGAAAAGAAACUAACAAGGAUUCCCCUAGUAGCGGCGAGCGAAGCGGGAAGAGCUCAAAUUUGUAAUCUGGCGCUUUCGGCGUCCGAGUUGUAAUCUCGAGAAGUGUUUUCCGCAUUGGNCCGCACACAAGUCUGUNGGAAUACAGCGGCACAGUGGUGAGACCCCCGUACACGGUGCGGAUGCCCAAUGCUUUGUGAUACACUUUCAAAGAGUCGAGUUGUUUGGGAAUGCAGCUCAAAUUGGGUGGUAAAUUCCAUCUAAAGCUAAAUAUUGGCGAGAGACCGAUAGCGAACAAGUACCGUGAGGGAAAGAUGAAAAGCACUUUGGAAAGAGAGUUAACAGUACGUGAAAUUGUUGGAAGGGAAACGCUUGAAGCCAGACUUGCUUGCCGGGGCUUGCUCCGGUUCGCAGGCCAGCAUCAGUUUUCCGGGGUGGAAAAUCGCGGUUUGAAGGUAGCAGUUUCGGCUGUGUUAUAGCUUUCCGCUGGAUACACCCUGGGGGACUGAGGAACGCAGUGCGCUUUUAGCGGGGGCUUCGGCCCCUUCGCACUUAGGAUGCUGGUGGAAUGGCUUUAAACGACC
rnacentral:rRNA from 1 species